rnacentral:rRNA from 1 species
AGCGAACGCUGGCGGUAGGCCUAACACAUGCAAGUCGAACGGCAGCACAGUAAGAGCUUGCGCUUACGGGUGGCGAGUGGCGGACGGGUGAGGAAUACAUCGGAAUCUACUUUUUCGCGGGGGCUAACGUAGGGAAACUUACGCUAAUACCGCAUACGACCUACGGGUGAAAGCAGGGGAUCUUCGGACCUUGCGCGAUUGAAUGAGCCGAUGUCGGAUUCGCUAGUUGGCGGGGUAAAGGCGCACCAAGGCGACGAUCCGUAGCUGGUCUGAGAGGAUGAUCAGCCACACUGGCACUGAGACACGGCCCAGACUCCUACGGGAGGCAGCAGUGGGGAAUAUUGGAGGAUGGGCGCAAGCCUGAUCCAGCCAUACCGCGUGGGUGAAGACGGCCUUCUGCUUGGAGAACCCUUUUGUUGGGAAAGAAAAGCAGCAGUUUAAUACCCCGCGGUUCUGACGGUACCCAAAGAAUAAGCACCGGCUAACUUCGUG